AUUGAACGCUGGCGGCAGGCCUAACACAUGCAGGUCGAGCGGAUGAGUGGAGCUUGCUCCAUGAUUCGGCGGCGGACGGGUGAGUAAUGCCUAGGAAUCUGCCUGGUAGUGGGGGACAACGUUUCGAAAGGAACGCUAAUACCGCAUACGUCCUACGGGAGAAAGUGGGGGAUCUUCGGACCUCACGCUAUCAGAUGAGCCUAGGUCGGAUUAGCUAGUUGGUGAGGUAAAGGCUCACCAAGGCGACGAUCCGUAACUGGUCUGAGAGGAUGAUCAGUCACACUGGAACUGAGACACGGUCCAGACUCCUACGGGAGGCAGCAGUGGGGAAUAUUGGACAAUGGGCGGAAGCCUGAUCCAGCCAUGCCGCGUGUGUGAAGAAGGUCUUCGGAUUGUAAAGCACUUUAAGUUGGGAGGAAGGGCAGUAAGUUAAUACCUUGCUGUUUUGACGUUACCAACAGAAUAAGCACCGGCUAACUUCGUGCCAGCAGCCGCCGUAAAAC
rnacentral:rRNA from 1 species